GUACGGGGGGGCAAGCGUUGUUCGGAAUUACUGGGCGUAAAGGGCUCGUAGGUGGCCAACUAAGUCAGACGUGAAAUCCCUCGGCUUAACCGGGGAACUGCGUCUGAUACUGGAUGGCUUGAGUGUGGGAGAGGGAUGCGGAAUUCCAGGUGUAGCGGUGAAAUGCGUAGAUAUCUGGAGGAACACCGGUGGCGAAGGCGGCAUCCUGGACCAUUACUGACACUGAAUAGCGAAAGCCAGGGGAGCAAACGGG
rnacentral:rRNA from 1 species